UACGUAGGGUGCGAGCGUUAAUCGGAAUACUGGGCGUAAAGCGUGCGCAGGCGGUUGUGCAAGACAGAUGUGAAAUCCCCCGGGCUCAACCUGGGAAUUGCAUUUGUGACUGCACGGCUAGAGUGUGUCAGAGGGGGGGUAGAAUUCCACGUGUAGCAGUGAAAUGCGUAGAGAUGUGGAGGAAUACCGAUGGCGAAGGCAGCCCCCUGGGAUAACACUGACGCUCAUGCACGAAAGCGUGGGGAGCAAACAGG
rnacentral:rRNA from 1 species